rnacentral:tRNA from 1 species
GUAGGUAUAGCUCAGUGGUAGAGCUCAGCACGCACGAGGUCCUGGGUUCAAUCCCCAGUACCUCCA